rnacentral:lncRNA from 1 species
GUAAACCAGUUUUCGUUGGUGAACGGAUUAUUAUUUGAGUUGUGUAUACAGUAUACUAUACUUGUUCAAAAUGCAUUCCGAUAUGUCAUGUGUUUCUUUUCUGGUUAUUGAUAGCUUCUAUAAAGCAUCUAAUUGAACGGGUAAAUAUACUUUAAUUAAUUUAUCAUACUGCAAAUGAUUUUUCUUCAAAUACUAUGAAUGAUCAUCUUUACUCUUCAGUCUCCACAUAAUACAAAUAAAAAACCAUUCUAUGAAUUUGACAACACAAGUUCGUUUGGUUUGUUUUUUUUUUGGUAAAAUAUUAAGCUUACCAUUUUCUGAAGAAAUUACAAAGUUGUUGUUAAACAAUUUAUUACAGAGAUAAAGAAACAGACAACAAUCCAACUUAAGAGCAUGUUCAACGCAGGCACGGAACUAUAGGUUUUUUUUUUUUUUCCGUCUGCUAAAACAAAAAUUAAAAGAAGAGCCAAUCGCGGACCACCACGUGUCAGUGGGACCCGCGAUCAGUGGAAAAAACAAAGAAAGAUCGAUCUUUAUUCUCUUACUUUUGUGAUCGGUUUUAAAAGUUUUUGUGGGGCCUAUGCAUUUAGAAACCCACUUAUUACCGGCGAUAAUUAUGGUCUAAACAACUUCCUUUGGUUUGUUUAUUGUAACUUUAUUACGUUACAAUCAUGAAUUCGUGAUAGUUAUUGCAACACUAUAGGGUAUCAUUUACUUACAUCAUAACUUCUAUUCUCCAAUAUUUAGAACAUGUUUUCUCACACAAAAAAAUUAGAACAUGCCUAUGGAUAUAUCUAAUAGAUUAUUUAUUAGAACAUAUAUCCACAACUAUAAGUUUUAUCACUACUUAGAGUUUUUAUUUGGGUUACCC